rnacentral:lncRNA from 1 species
AGCCUGACGAUCAGGCGUCGUGGUGGCAGCACCAAGAAGCUUCUUCACUCCUGCACAGCAUGGCGGUGGAGGACUGGCAUUAUUAGGAGCUUGAAGAUAAGUAAGGCAUGGAGCCAAAUCACCGGAUACAGUUCCACAUGACAAAGCAGCUUCUGCCAUAAGCUUGAAGAUAAGUAAGGCAUGGAGCCAAAUCACCGGAUACAGUUCCACAUGACAAAGCAGCUUCUGCCAUAGGCGCAAUAACUACCAUGCACAUCACCAAAGCAACACAUGCUAAUUUCAUGCUUGUUGCCAUUUUUGUUUUCUUUGUUUUCUAUUCUUUUUCUUAGUUUGUUUGAAUGGUGUGUAAUGUCUUUGUGGGAGGGGGUUUAUAUAGAAAAUAAGAUAAGGUUUGAAGAUGAGUAGAUUGAUGAAUUUUUUGUGAAUGUGCAUAAAAAUUAGGUGGUAGUUGUGGUUUGAAUUAAUGACGUAUGGUCCAUUAUCUAUAAUUAUUGAGCAUUUGUCUCACUAUCUUUAAUUUAUUAUUUAAUGAUAUGGUACACAGUUAGAUUGGACGAUAAUUACUGUAGUUUCCGAAUUCAAUUUUCCACCCUCCUUCUUUCUCUUCUCUAUUUUAUCGGUGCUUUCUGCGCUUUGUAUGAUUUUUAACUUUCUUAUAUAGGAUUAUCUUAUUAAUACUACUAUUUUAAAAUUUAGUAUAUUUUUUUAAAAGCAAAUAUUAAAAGAGGGUGGGAUAUAUAGAAUGAAACUUGUUUCGCCAUAGUUUUGAAUGGUUUUAGUGUUAUGAUUCGAGAUUUUGAUCUUAGGGGUUUUAUUAGAAAGGACAUCGUCCCUCCUAAAGUACGUGUUUUGUCUAAUGCCUCUUUAGAAAAAAUGUUCAGAACAUGUAUGUGAAAUUUUACAUGACCAUAGGAUAGAAAGCAAUUUUGGAUUGUUUGAAAGCAGCACAUGUUCAAAAUUUCCUCCUUGCUAUUAUUAUUAAUGGUCAUGCCAACAUAUGACCCUGAUAGAAUAUCAUACAAUUCUUAAAUAUCGAUUUAUGAUUCCCUUAUUUCUUGUCGACAAAGUUUUCUCUGUUUUUCGUAAGGUGUGCUUGGAUAUAUUUGGGGUGUCAUUUGACAUACUUUGGCGUGCCACGGUACCUGUGAAGAAAGAGUCACAUGUGAAUUUUUGUACUGACCACGUGAGGGAUGAUCGACACUUAGGCCAACAAAUGUUUUAGUGUACGAGUGGAUAGGAGAGAAACAUGCAUAUGUAGACUUGAUUUCAGUUUUGACAAACAUUUUAAAAAUAAAUCGAACACGCUAGGUUAAAUUACACGAAACGUAGAUUAAUAAAAUUGAUGUUUGCAAGCUUGAUUUUGAAAAUUUUCGUCAACUAUUUUGACACACAUUUUACAAUUGAUUCAACCGAUUUUCCUGUAGAUACAAAAAUUUAUUUCGACUGACAUUCUAGACAUUAUGCGGUAUGAAAUACAUGUUAUGUUAUGCAGAGAUGCAACAAUUAUGAUGAAUGCAUUGAAUCGUUGAUUCACGGUCAAAAUCGGGAUGUGACAAGUUCUACCAGGGUUUCAUCAAGGGUUCCAUCUAAGGUUUUUAUCAAGGGUUCCACUAGGGUUUCAUCAAGGGCUCCAUCAAGGGUUCCAUCUAAGGUUUUUAUCGAGGGUUCCACCAAGGUUUCAUCAAGGCUCCAUCAAUGGUUUCAUCAAGGUUUUGUCAGGAGUUUUUAUCUAGGGUUCCACCAAGGUUUCAUUAAGGGCUCCAUCAAGGGUUUUAUCAAGAGUUUUUAUCAAGGGUUCCACCAGGAUUUCAUCAAGGGUUUCAUCACGGGUUUUAUCAAAGGUUCCACCAGGGUUUCAUCUAAAGGUUUCACCAAGGGUUUCAUCAAAGUUUGAUCAAAGGGUUUCAUCAGGGUUCCACAAAGGGUUUCAUCGGGGUCCCACCAGGGGUUAUGUUAGAAGUUUCGUUAGCAGCGAUCGGAGGAUCACUACAAUCCUACUUGAAUUUCGUAAAAAAUGAUCAGAGGAUCAUCGGAAUCAUACACAGGUUUCACCAAGAGGGGUUGAAACCUACCAAAGAUUCUGGUUCCAUCAUAGUGUUGCAUGGAUUCCCCCAAGGAAGUGGUUCAAAUAUUUGAGUUCCAUUAAGGAUAUUAUUCGGGAUCCAUUAGAUUGGUUAUGUGAGUUUCACAAGGGUUCCACCAAAAGUUGGUUUAGAUACCAACGAAGUACAAAAGGCAUCAAGUCUUUAUACAUCCCCAAAAAAUCUACUAACUCCAUGGACAAAAUUAGGGUCCCUCUCUAUAUUUAAUCGUCUUCCGUCAUGAGAGGAUGAAGACUCGCCAUCACCAUCAUCUCAAUUUAAAUUUGAUUAAAUAGGGACAGUUGUCUUACCCCAAAAUUUGUCUGCCCUUCAUAUGUUUUCUAACGCCACUUUAUUUCGAAUAAAUGAAAUGACACUGUUUUUUUACUGAGUCCCAACUUUAUUUUUAAAAAAGUUUGUUUUUUUAUUUUUAUUUUUUUAAAACCACUGAUGGAUUUUCUUUUCUAUUUCAUUAGUGCCUUUUAAUUUGAAAUUUAAAUUUUAUUUAUUUGAAUAUUAUAAUAUAUAUAUAUAUAUAUAUAUAUAUAUAUAUAUAUAUAUAUAUAUAUAUAUAUAUAUAUAUAUAUUAAUUAUAUAUAUAUAUAUAUUAGUAUAUAUAAAUCUUUUACUAAUAAUUUACAAAUUUUUGUAAAUAAUAUCCACUACUAUUUCGAUCACAGAACAUACUAGUAAUAUAUUGACAUGUGAUACUUCCCUAAUUAUUCUGCAUCUUGUAUGAUUUUCAAUAAAAAUAUACAAAGUGUUGUACCAUAGAAUAAAUCAAAAAACUUAAUAUAUGAAACUAUUAAUAUGAUAUUUAAUUAAGUUUUUAGGCAACACAUAAUUGCAUCAAUUAACUCUGGUUGAUAAAUUAUGACUAUUUAUUUACGUUUUAUAAAUUAUAUUAUAUAUCACAUAUAUUUGAAAAUAAUUCAUAUUUUACAUAAAAAAGAAAUCAAUUUAUUUUAAGUAAUUGUAUAUAUAAGUAUUUUAUCAAUUCAACUCUUAAAUUAAAAUUUUAAAUUGAUAACUUUUAUAAUUUCUUAUAAAAAUUCAAUGAAUAUUGAUUACACGUGCAUUUAAUCUUGUUUUCCAAUUUAGACAUUCUUGAAAAUAUUUUAGAAGUAAUAAUAUAAUAAUAAAAAAUCAUGCAAUACAUCUAUAAUUUUUUUUACAAUGUAUAACUUAAUUUUUUUUAACAAACAAUACAUAUAACAUAAACUUAUACUAGUAUUUAUUAUUACAUAGAUUAAAUGGCCCCACAUCCUUAAUUUUCUGGAUCUACCCCUAGAUCCUACAAACAAAAACCAUCCCACGUUACACUACACAACCAUUGCAUGUGAAAAAUAGUAAUGUAUGUUGGUACAAAGCAGAGAGAAAGAAUGGUAAAAGAUCUAGUCUCAUCUCAUUUUUAGUUAACAAUUAAUUUCUUUUUAUUUGAUUUAACUAUCAUUUAACUAUCAUUAUUUUUAUUUUUAUUUGACAUUUGAAGCAUAGGCUCAAACCUAAUAGUAUCAAUCUCUUCAUAUAUCAAAACUUUUUUAAUUCAUGAAUUGAAUAGUUCUUUUUUCUUUUCAACAAAUAUUUAAACUUCUUGGUGCUUUUGUUACGGAUUUGAUAAAGUGAUUUGGUCUUCAACGCCAUUGACUCAACGUCGCAGUCACUCUGUCGACACUUCCUCUCAAACUAGAAGGUUUUAGGUUUAUUUUUUUUCCUUUUAUCAUAUAAAUGUGUGAGUCUGUCUUUGGCCCAUGUGUAUGUCCAUUUAAUUGAUUUUGUUCUACAUGUUAAUUAAUUACAUUUACACGGUAUAUUAUAACUCUUAGAUUAAUUUUUGUGUCAUUCAGCAGAAAAGUAUAUUAAUGUAAUUUUGUUUGAUACUUGAAAAGAUUAAAAAAGAUAAUAUUAUAAAAACACCCAAAAUAUUAAUUUAGUUAAUUCUCUUUUAUUAACUCUUUUUUCAUUUUAUUAAUUUCGACCACUAAGAUUAUUAACAUAUAAAAGUAAUAAACUCAUAUCUUAUUUUACUUUACGUUAAAAACAAAAUAAAAGUCAAAAAUAUUUCUUUACAUAUUUAAAAUAUUUCUUCUCAUUUUUAAUUCUAAAAAUUUAAAAAGACAAAAAAAUAUAUUAUAUAUUUUAUAUCUUUGUUUUUUGUUUAAAAAUUAAUCUAUUAGGUCUAACUUAAUCUAGUUUAUUUUCUUCUAAAUUCAUUUUAAAAUAAAUUUAUUUCUUUAUAAUAAGAAUAGUAAAAAAAACAAUAAUAAUAAUAAUAAUAAUAAUAAUAAUAAUAAUAAUAAUAAUAAUAAUAAUAAUAAUAAUAAUAAUAAUAAUAAUAAUAAUAAUUAUCUAUGUAAAUAUGAAUUUAUUUUCUAAAUCAAAUUAAAACUAUAUUUUGCAAACUAACUUGAUUGUUUGGCGUCACACCUUAUCGAUAAAUAAUUCAACUAAAAACUUAAAAUCAAUUCAAACACAAUCAAAUGUUAUUUUCUCUGUCCUUGUGCAUUGAUAUUCGCUUUUUUAAACAAAAAUUUCUCCGCCCUGGUGCUUGAGAUAUUUUCACAACUAAAAUCAACAAACAUACAAUAUUUUCUAGACGGAUUUCAGUACUUUGAUCAUUCAUAUUGCUUGAGGGUACGUAGGCAUAGAGUUGUAACACUCUGGUGAAUACAAUAACAAAAACCUUUUCUCUGUCAUCUUUCCUGAUUAAAUUUUUCUUUUAUUAAAAUGAUAACCUAAUUCCCUGUAAAUAGGUAUAUUAAGCAAAAAUAGAUAACAUAAGAAAACACCCCAUAGAUAACACCUCCCCCUCACUAAAUCGACUCCCGAACCCUAAUGCACUAUCCUUACCUUUUAGGGUUUUCUCAUUAUUUCCCAUGUUCAUUAGGAACAAAUAAAAUAUGGUGGCAACUCGGUAAUUUUCCAGCCGCGACAACAAUAUUCCAUCUUAAAUAUCUUGAGUAUCUCACUUGUAUAUCUUCUUUGAUGCAUCACCAAAUCUCUACUACUCUUGUAGAAUUUGAUGCCAAGAAAGUAUGAAAUGUCUCCCAAAUCAAACAUUUCGAAUUCCUUGCUAAGGUCACCUUUGAAGUCUUCGAUCUCUUUCUUACAAUUACCAGUUCUUAAUAAGUCAUCGACAUAGAGAUAUAGUAUAAGCAAUUCACUCUUGCUUCUUCUUACAUGUAAUCCAUGUUUAGUUGUGCACUUCACAAAUUCGUCCUCCCUUAGAAAGCUAUAUAUCUUCUUAUUCCAAGCUCUUGGAGCUUGCUUAAGUCCAUACAGGGCUUUGUACAACCUGUAUACCUUGCUUUCUUCGACUUGUUUCACAAACCCAACUGGUUGUGCAACAUAAACUUCUUCAUCUAAGAGGGUCAUUUAAGAAUGCACAUUCACAUCCAUAUGACACAUAUGCCAGUUGUUCGUGUUUGCUAGACUAACAACCAACCUGAUUAUUUUGAUCCUAGUAACAGGUGCAAAAACUUUGUCGAUUCCUUCUUUUUGAAGAAAUCCUUUCGCCACAAGUAUUUCCUUGUGUCGAGUUACUUCUCCUUUAGGAUUCAACUUCACCUUGUAUACCCACUUCUCAUUGAUUGCCUUCUUGUCUUUAGGCAAUUCGACAAGUGACCAAGUGUUGUUGACUUCAGUGGACUUCAGUUCCUCAUUCAUUUCUUUCAUCCACUUCGAAUCCUUCAAUACCUCGACUGCAUUGACUAGUUCAUCAUAUGCAUAGAAAGCAUAGUGUACCAGCUCACCUUUAUCAUCAACCACAUCAUCUAAUGUAAUCACACAUUCUUUCAACCUUACAGGCAUAUGUCUUGUUCUUUGAGGUCUGUUUGUGCUUGUUUGACCUCUGACUUCUUCUUGUCGAACUUCUCUUUCGAAUUCACUUGUUGGGUAUUCACAUAGGAUUCAUACUGAAUCCUUCUUGACAUUUUCAGUCCAAUCACAUUCCUUAAGCUCAUCUAUGAUCACAUCCUUGUUGAUCAAUAAUUGCUUGUUCAUCAAUAUUGUUUCAGAAUUCUCCAUAGGUUUGGUGUAUUUCCACAUUCAGGAAUUUCGUCUUAAUCCCAACAUCUGGUAUCUAAGCACUAGCUGUGUGAUUCUUGGGAAGCAUAAUGCUCUGAUUGAUUACACCUUUUGUUCUCCACUCUUCACUUGAGUGAAUCAACCAACCUUGAUUUCAAGAUGAUUUUGUUGCACGAUGACUAUUGAAGAAGAAAAAAAAGAUGAAUUGAGGAAGAAAGGAGAAUUUAGGGUUUGAGAGAAAAGGGGAAGAAGAAGAAGAAUUCUGCAGAGUUUUUCUUUCUGCUUUCAAACUGAAAUUUUAUUCAACUUUUUUCUAUGCAACUGCAUUACAAACAACGAUAAGUACCUCCUUAUUUAUAGGUUGAUAUUGCUUCCACACCAACCAAUCACCAACUAACCUAACUAACUAAACUAAAACAAACAAAUAAAAUUAAGUCAAAAUUAUGUCGAGAUACACUUUAAUAUUUCGACAACUCCUUUCGAACAACAUGCUUCAAUAUAAGAAAUUACAUUUUCAAAUAUAUAUAUAUAUAUAUAUAUAUUAUAUAUAUAUAUUAUAGAUUUUUUUUUUUUUUUUUAAAAUGAAAGUUAUUGUCGACCAAGACUUUCCUCAUUUUAAAGGCAUUUAUUAUUAAUCAAGUGAGUGCCUCUAUCAAAUUUUCAUUUAUAUAUAAAUUUUUGCUUUUAAUCAAUAUCCAUUAAAUAAAUGGUUGUUAUCCUUUAAACAUGACACGAUAUAUACUCUCAAGAGAGGUAAACACCACUUAACUUUUUUCAUUAAUGAACCAUGGAUAAAAUUAAUACGACCUUUAGUAUUUUAAAUUGACAUUAUCAAAACAAUAAAAUGACGAGAAAAUUAGAAAGAAAAAACAAAUUGAUCUUUAGAAUUGACUUAUCUAACACUGCAUCGAUGAUAAUAAAAACAGGCAGCAUUAUGUCGACAGGGACGGUUGCCGACCAUACUGUGUGUCAGCAAAGUUGAUAAAUUUCACCAUAGGUGUUCCUUAAUCACGGCACCGAAUUCAUACCCCACGAUGUUGUGGUACCCAUUGAAAUUCAAACUGUUGCUAUUUUGCAGACUGCAAUACAUUUUUUGUUUGGCAAUAAAGUUAGUCAGCCAUGGAUCCAUAAAUAAUUGAUUGGAGCUUAGUUAACUGUUUAAAUAUUCAUACAAAAAAUAUUUUUAUUUAAAAAAAUUUAAAAAUAACAAAAAUUGAACACACUUGCUUCUAAGUUUAAUCUCUCUAAUUUAUUCACUUGAGAAUAGAUUAGACUAGAGAAUCAAAUUUAGAAUAUUUUGUAAUCAAUUGUGUAAAUGUUCAUGUUGUUAUAAAUAUAAUAAAUACAAUGAGGAAAGGCAUCCCGCCAGAAUUUGUGACAUCCAUGUCACCUUUAUCAAAGAGGAAAUGAGACACCAUAAAAUCUUUAUGAUAACUCUCAAAGGAUCCGUCAUGGAAUAAAUCAUUAGAAUACAACACCAUAAAAUCUUGGAGGAAAUUAUGUGAAGAUUUCAUAAUACAAUUCAUAACACAUUGGAGAAAGUUGAAGAGAGUAGUGUUCCUUAGUGGGAUCCAUUAGAAGAAGAAUGAUACCUCAAAUACAUGUAAUAAUUGUGAGGUCAUAGUAAUUUCACGUGUAAAAGCAUGUAUAAUUGUAAGGAUAGGGUGAUUUCAAUGUGAAAUAUGAUUUUCCACAAUAUCUUGAAUUCCAUUAUAACUCACUCUAAUUCAUGCAAUAUUAGUCAUAAAAAUGGUUUAAAUGCUUUAUAAGUAUCUUGGAAAAAGUAGUAUCAUAGGGUGUCACCAGACACAGACACUUAUUUUAAUGUUUCGUCUAUUUCUUAUCUUCAAUUUCAAGCAUUUUAGUAAGUUUAGAAGGACCAUUUAUUUAGCGUUAAAUGUGAACAAAGGAUCCACUGUCAUUAAGUGGGUUCCCGAUUUAUAUGAAGGGAUAUGUAAGUCAUGGUAACUCGAGAACCACUUAUGAAACUAAUCUAUAUCCAAACUUAUCAAAAUAGAAAAAUCUUGAUCACCACAACUUAAUCAUAACAUCUUGAUCUUCAAGUACCAACAUUUGGUAAACAAGUUUUGAUCUUCAAGCACCAUCACUUGAUCCACAAUAUGUCAGUUACCACCACUUGAUCAACAACUAUCAAGAAUCAUCACUUGAUCAACCACAUAUCAAUCACAAGAUCCACAUAUAAAGCACCAUCAAUUGAACAAUAAGAUGUCAAGCAUCAUCAUUUGAUCAACAUAUCAAGUGUCAUCACUUGAUUAAUCUUCAAGCACAAUCACAUGAACCAACUUAGACUUGAACAAGACUGAUGAAGAAUUCUCUUAAGAGUCUUGUCAACAUCAAAACCAAAAUAAUACAUUGUUAGAGUCUUCAUACCUGUAAACACAUAGAUCCACAUUAUCCUUUUUUUUUGAUGAAAAAUAAUCUCUUAAGGAGUUGGAAUAACAAAGAAAAAAUGUUAUAAAACUUGGAGUGAUUAAACUCCCCCUACAAACAUAGAGAGUAUACCCUACUUCCCCUGAGAGUAUACUUUUGCCCCCUUGGCGUUAUCAAAAAUUUGGGGAAAAUUAAGCAGAUAGACUUGUAUAUGAAUUAUUCAAGCACAUAUAUCAUAAGAGAUGUGCAUAGACAUUUAAUGGAAAACAUACUUCAUCAAUUGAAAUGACGGAAUUCAAAUACAGAAAGGGAAAUAACAAGGAAUUUAAAAGACUAUGAAAAGAAGGAAAAACAUAGGUGAGAUAACUAUUUGUUGUCAUUAAUAUCAUCAUCUAUGAUUAUGUAUUUUUUGUUGUUGAGUUCCUCUUGAUGAUAACCAUGUCCUUUAUUAAUUUUUGAAUAGCCAUAGUGUUUUUCUGAGAUAUUUUCAGAAGGUGUUAAUGAUUGAAUCAUUUGUUGUAUCUAGAUGGAUACUUCAUUUAUGGAUUUGUUCCAUAAUUCUCCUUGAAAGAUAUGAACCCUCAUACUACUGAGGGAUGAGUAGUUAAUACUAUAGUGAUUGAAUCCAUAAAUUCCCCUUGUGUUGACUCUUAGAGUAUCUAUAAUAUUGGUGAUCAAGGCUCUAUAUCGUGACCCUGUUGAUCGAGACUGCUUGUAGGAGGUCAUAUGGAGAAGCAUCUCGUUGAUCCAAUUUGUUUGAAACUGUUGGGUAAGCAGCCACAAAGGGACCAUAUAUUCUCGAAUGAUGACUUCAAGAUUAUCUUGUAUAGGGAAGAGUAUAUGUGUGAUAAAAUAAUGUUGGGUGAGAAUAUGGAGCAUAGAAAUGGUGUAUAUGGGGGGAGGGGGUUGAAUACACCCUUUUGAAAAAUUUAACCAAUUUUUGAAAUGAAAAAUCAGAGUUUUUGAUGUGGAAGUCUUAUAACAAAAAAAGAUAGACUUUAUGCUUAAAUUGGAAAUUAACCACGUAUACAAUUACCUAAUUAACAAAUAUCUUUGAUUGAUUAGAGAUAAUAUCUAAAGAGUUACAUGCUACGAUGAAUUGUCACUUUGUUAAUUACACAAGAUAUGUUCUUUACAAUAUCCAAUUUCUAUGAAAGUUUAACACAACAGUUUGUAGAAUUUAAUCAGAACUAAAACACAAAUAGAUUUUGAUUCUAACAAAACCUAAAUUUAUAUAAUAAAUAACUACCAACAGGUAUUAACAAUAAAUUACACUAAGAAAGGUUAACCUAAACAUGCAAUAGCCUACGAAAAAUUAAAAUGAGAGAGAGAAAGAGAGUGUGAACACUAGGAUGUAUAGUGGUUCAGAUCUAUCUUCCUGCAUGAGCCUAAUCCACUCUCCAAUUGUUUCUCAUUAAAAAAAUUUCUUCAACUAUGUUUUGAAAAAAAUUACCUGAGUUCAUACAAUCAUUAAUCCAUAAUAAUGCUGAGAAAAUAAAUCUUUUAUCUGGAUCUUAACUUGUACACUGCCUUUAUACUGAACUCUUUGUGAAAUCUUUACUCGGUUAUUGCUUCUUUAAUCUUCCAGAUUCACCAAUAUUCUCCAAGUCUCCGUGUAUGGUAAUCGCCCAUGAUCUCACUAAUUUCUUGAGCAAUGAAUUGUCUGAAGAUUGAGAAGAACCGCUACCUUGUAUGUAGGCUUCCUUAUAACUCUGCCAAGAGAUUUUGAGUUUUCAAAGAUAUGGAAGUUGUUGUUGUUAUGUUCUUGGUUAUUAUAAAUUGAGAUGACAAAAUAAUUUAUAUGUGCUAGAGAUUACGCACAAAAGUAUGUGAAAAAUGGUUCUUAGAUUCGAGUCAAGAACAUUUGUUGAUUUGAGUCAAGUGAGCAAGUAAAGUGGAACAAGAUUAACAUAACAAAAGUGACUUAUUUCCUGUGAUUCGAGUCAAAUUAUAUGUAUGAUUCUAGUUAUACAAGCUCAUAAUUUGAGUCAAGUAGAAACCCUGAUUCGAAUCAAUUUGAACUGAGCCGAAUAGUAAAAUGUGAAAAAACUAUGUGAUUCAAGUCAUUUGUAAAGUGUGAUUCAAAUCAAACUGGGAAGUGGCAAAUAGGAUUUGUAUGAUUCAAUCAUGUGCAACUUGUGAUUUGAGUCACAGUGUUGUAUAAUUUUGAAUCAAGUUAAAAUUGUGAUUUGAGUCACAGAUGCAAAAGUCUCCGGCUUCCAUUCCCUGCACAUAGACCUUAAUAUUUUCUUAGCACAAUCUCUGCCAAAAACGGACUUUCCUAAAUUGUUGAUUUUGUUGAUUAAGUGGAAGAACCUAGUCUUCAUGGAUUCCACGAAUUCUCCGGGAUCCACACGAAAUAGUUCGAACUCAUCUGUUACCAUGUUGAUCUUAGAAUCCUUGACGUCAUUUGUUCCAUUGUAAAGGGUUUGAAUAUCGUCCCACAUAGAUUUUGCGCUCUUAUGAUGUAAAAUAGAGUAUAAUACUUUCACACUUAAAAUUGAGAUAAGUAUGUUACUCGCUUUCAAAUCAUAUGAAGCCUUUUUGGUUUCAUCAUCUAUCUAAUCCUUUGGGUGUUUAACAUCUACCCGUAGAUUUUUAUAAAUUGAUAAUAAAUGUACAUACAUAUUUUCUUUCCAAUAAUGAUAAUUAUCGGCAUCUUCACCCAUAUUCCCAAAAUUUUGAGUCACUUAGACCUGAUCAAAAUACCAACUUUGAUACUAAUUAUUGGGUGAGAAUAUGGAGUAGAAAAUGGUAUAUAAUGGGUGAAUAGACCCUUUUGAAAAAUUUGACCGAUUUUCAAAAUGAAAAAUCGAAGUUUUUGAUGCGGAAGUCUUAUAGAAAAAAUAGAGACUUUAUGCUUGAAUUGGAAAUUAAUCACUAAUAUAAUUACACAAUUAAUAAAUAUCUCAGAUUGAUAAGAGAUAAUAUCCAAAGAGUUACCACCUGUGAUGUAUUGUCACUUUGUAAAUUACACGAGAUGUGUUCUUUACAAAAUACAAUUUCUAUGAGAUUCUAACACCACAGUUUGCAAAAUUUAAUUAGCACUAAAACACAAAUGAGUUCUGAUUCUAAAAAAAACUAAACUUGUGUAAUAAAUUGCUACCAACAGUAAUUAACAAUAAACUACACUAAGAAACGAUUACCUAAACAUGCUAUAUCCUACAAAAUUAAAAUAAGAGAGAGAGAGAGAGAGAGAGAGAGAGAGAGAGAGAGAGAGAAAGAGAGAGAGAGAGAGAGAGAGAGAGAGAGUACGCCCGAAUGUAUAAUGGUGCGGGUCUAUCGUCAUCAUAGAAGCCUAAUCCAUUCUCCAAUGGUUUCCCAUUGAAAGUUGUCAUUCCACUAUGUUUUGACAAAAAUUGCACGAGUUUAUACAAUCAUUAAUCCAGAAUAAUGAUGAGAAAACAAAUCUUCUAUCUGGAUCUUGACUUUUACAUAGCAUUUAGGAUGAACUUUCUGUGAAAUCUUUACUCGAUUCUCGCGUCUUGAAUCUUCCAACUUCACUAAUCUUCUCCAACUUUUCGCGUGUGGCAAUCACCUCUGAUCCCACCGAUUUCUUCACGAAGAUUGAGAAGAACGCAUACCUUGUCUGUAGGCUUCCAUACAACUCUACAAAGGUCAUCAUAGAGAGAAGAACCUUUUUUUUUCACCAGAUUUUGUCACCACAAGUCACAACAAUCCCAAUGAUAAAGUUUUUACUGGUUUGUCAACAAAUGUGAAAGAGGGGGAGGAUAAGUAUCUUUAUGGCCAGUAGUUGGUUUCUUAUAAUUAACAUCCCCUUGGACCUCUUUCUCCUUCAAAUAUUGACUUUAGAACCUUAUCAUGUGUAUGAAUCAAUAGUGAAUCAAGUUUUUAACGUAACCCCCAAAGGCGUAGUGGUUUUUUAGUGUUUCUUUCAUCCAUCAUUGGUGGAUUUGGUGUUUGAGUUCUAACUUGGUUCAUAUUUGUUGGUUACUUGUUGUAUUAGUAGCACUACUACAAAAUAGACGUUUGGUAACACCCAUUUUACAACGGUUUUCCUAUUAACCGUGGUAAUAAUUUUUUGGGGCGUUUUUUUUUUGUGUAUUUACUAAAAGAUAUUUCACAACGGUCAUUGAUACCAACUGUGGUUAAAAGUGGCGUCUGAUCAUGAGUUUGAAUCUCAGCACCUACAAUUUUGUUUUUAUUUAUUUUUAAGCCACUUUUCACCACCGUUGGAACUUUCAACUGUCGUGAAAAGUGGAUCCUGGUCAUGAGUUCGAAUCCUAGCACAUACAGUUUUAUUUUUAUUUAUUUAUUAAAAGACAUACAACAACGGUUGAUUAAAGUAACUGUUGUGAUAUGUUAAGACAUAUAACAAUGGUUGUUUAAAGUAAUUUUUCUGAUAGGUACAAUUUUUUUUUUAAUAUUUAUUAAAGUAAGCAUGUUUAUUGAGUUUCUUCGCCAUUCUUAAAUAAAUCUUUGUCGGCCAUUUAGUGAGUAUCAAUGCCCAAGACACUACCAUUGGUGAUCCGCAUGAAACCUAAAACUUAGAUGAACUUUCAACUUAGAAGAACUUCAUCUUCUACCUCCAAACAUCUUCUUCCAUUUAUGACUCUCUAUUUCUCCACUAAAUUAAACUCGAAGACAUUCUUUCUUCCAUAAGCAAAACUCAAAAACAUCAUUUCUUUCAUUAACAAAUUCCAGAACUCCAUCACCUCUUCUCCCACUUGAAUGAGACAAGGAAAACAUGGAUUCUAGUUAGCAAUGUUAGUGUUUUUGUUAUUUUGUUGUUGUUGUUGUUGUUGUUCUAUUGCUGCAUUUUUAUUUUAUUUUAUUAAAAGUCAUACAACAACGGUUGUUUAAAGUAACCAUUGUAAUAAAGUGAGACAUACAACAAAGGUUGUUUAAAGUAACCGUUGUGGUAAGUAGCGUGGUGAAAAAUGUCAUACAUACAAUCAUACCAUACCUCACAACGGUUGAUCCAAAGUGGUAGUAUCCAUUUUCCGACUGUUGUGAUAGAUAUUUUUCGUAGUAGUGUAACUAUUCGAUUUUCCUUUUCUUUCUGCUUAUUUUUGUUCUUGGUGAUUGAUUGUAUUAGCUCCAUCAUUUUAUCUUUUAGUUUUUUUUGUCUGUUUUUUUUUCUUUGGAGGUUUUUCUCUUCGUUAUUAAUAUAGUAAUUGAUAAAAAAAAUGUUAGUAAUAUUUUCCGUUACCACGUUUAAACAAUCCAACUUAUUAGUAAAACCCAUUUUGUUGUAGAUAAGUUUAUGCAACUUUAUCCAUAAUAAAUGUAAGUUAAAUAUGAACUUAAUUGUAUAAACUCAAAUCUCCUUAGACUUACGAAAUGACAUUAAUAUCAAACAAACUUGCUUUUAACUUUGUUUUUAAUUGUGAUACAUUGCAUUUUUUUAAGGGUAUUUUAGAUUUUUCUUUCACACUAUUAAAUUAAUAAAAUCACAACUUUUGUUGCAUUAAAUAUAUUUAAUAAUAUCGUUAUGAAAAAGACAUAUCAAAUUAACUUUUCUAGCCUCUUAUCUUGAUUUUUCAUUUGUGAUACAAUGAUUUUUUAAAGAUGUUUUACUAUUUUACAAUAUUAUAUUGAUAAUAUCAUAAGUUUUUUUUUGCAUUAAAUCAAUUUAAUAAUAGCAUUUAUAUAUUAAUUUAAUCAUUAAUUAUUAUAUAUGUUAUAAAAGAAAAAUUAUCUUUGAACCACAACUAAGAUUUAGAUUAAAUUAAUAUUUUAAUAACUAUUGUAUAAAAAACAAUAAUCAUAAUAUACUUUAAUUAUACUUUUAACGUUAAUAUGUAUACACGGGACAAAUGUUUGUUUGGCAUUGAUCAAUAAAUUAAAUUAAUAAAAUUAAAAAAUAAUUAUAACAUAAUUUACUAAAAUAAAUUGAUUCAACAGUCCUUGUCCUUAAAAUGUUGGAGUUUCAUAUCUUUUAAAAUUUUCAAACUUAAAAUUAUAAUAUAUAAAAUAUCAACGUGACAUUUAAAAUAAUUCAAAAUAAAAAUAAUAAAAUCAUAUCAGUAUUUUUGGAAUUAAAACAAAUAAAUAAUUGUUGAGUUAGCGAGCCACACAAAUCCUUUUGUCCAAUCAAAUUCCAAAAUAUUUAAAUGAUCUAAAUCUUUAUAUUGCAAGAUUGUUUUUGCAAAAAAUAGUUUUACAGGGGCAUAAAUUAAAAUUCGCCUAUGGCACGGGGAAAUGAUAUUAACCAUUUAUAAAAUUAUUCAUUAAAAUUAAUCUCUUUUAAAUAUUUUUAAAACAAAUGAGAAUAUUUAUAAUAUAAUAAUUAUAAUUUUUCAUACUUUUAACAUUUUUUAUUAUUUCAUUUAAAAAUUAAUAACUAAAAAUAUUCGUUGACACAUCCCGUUCAUACACGAUUUAGUCCAUAUUUGAUUUUGAUAAAAUUUUGAAUAAUUAAUUUUUCUUAAAAGUGAAUUGAAUGUUUUAUAUUUUGAUACAUAGUUGAAUUAUAAGAAUUAAAAAUCAUGUUAAGACUCGAAAUCUACCAAUGAUUGUGUCUUCGAAUUAUGAUAAAUUAUUCAGGGAAAAAUAAUUCUACCAGAAGGCAAAUAAACAUACUAAAAUUGAUUAUAAAAUGGUAAAUCAAACAAAGAAUUAUUAUUUUUAUAUCUUAAAGAGAAAAUUGAUUCUAAAAUACUAAUUUAAGUUUAUUAUGAAAAUUAUAUAAGAAAUAAAUAUUAUUGAUUGAAGAGUUAGUUAAAAUUAUAAUUAUUUUUAAUAUUAUUCAAUAAAAAAUAUGAACAAUUACAAUGCAAUUCCUACAAUUGUGUUGCAUAUUUUAAUUUUAUUCAAGUUGUUUAUCAAGAAACAAGACACUUAAAAAGGUAUUCUAGCAUACAAUUCUUACAAAAAUAAAUGUUUUUCCCUAAUAAAAUAAUUAAAUUUAAUAUUUUCAAUAGCUUGUAGAUAAAAAUAAGAUUAUUUAUAAUAAAAUAUUAAUUAAAGUGAAAUAUAAAUCAUUGAUUUUUAUUAUAAAAAAAAGGACAAAUAGUCGUAACAAAUACAUAAAAAAUACAAGAUAGAAAUAUUUGUAACAGGUAAAUAUAAAAAAAAAUAUAAAAUACACAUUUGUCAUUGUUACAUAGCAAAAUAAUACGCAAAUAUUUUUUAUUUUAUUAAUGCGAAAUAAAAACAAAAAAUUAAAUUCAAAUUCAAAAAAACAGUCUCCUCCAAUAUGUAGAUUUUGAUAGUGGUUUUGCAACAUGACUCCUCCAUAGCAGGAGUUGUAGAGACUCUCAGCACCACCUCUCACUCUAUUGAGGUUGUUGUGCACCUAGAUCAUCGUCGAUGGUCUUUGCCGUCCUUGGUGAUUUCCAUUGAUUUGUAUCUUAACCCCUUAGGAUCCGUUGUCUGUUGUCCACUAUUCAGAAGGAACUCCGUGCCAGAAUGGAUAAACAAGACACUGUCAACGACAACAUUCAGAACAUGCUAGCUCAAUUGCUUCAGAGAAUGCCUCCGCCUCCCAACCCCUAGGCACUUAGGAUUUUGUUUUUAGCCUGUUGUUUUGGCUUGUUCUGAUGACUUGUUCUUUUUGUCCUUGUCUCUGUUGCUUUUACUGAAUACAAUGUUUUUUUCUUGAAUUAUUCUUUUCUGCUAUGUCUUUUGAUUCUGACAAAAAGGGGAGAAGUCAUUAAAUGCUCUGACGAAAUUCUGUUCUAAAUACUUAGCACUUGCAACUAUUUUCUUAAAAUAAAUUUAUCUACACUAGACUUAAGAAAUUGCAGAGGGGCAACAUUAGCUGGGUGGUAAGUUUGGUAUCAAGACCUCAUUCCGCUUGGAAGCUUGGUAAAACUUUUGACUCCCGUAGCCUAUUCUCAGGGGAGGUCUUGUCUAUCUGAUCUGAUAUUGUUUAUGUUUCAUCUGCUAAUUAAGUUUGUUUUGUCAUUUUCAGAAGGGGGGAUUGUAGAACAAAUUGGUGAUCGGUACAGCAGAUUCGGCUCUNNNNNNNNNNNNNNNNNNNNNNNNNNNNNNNNNNNNNNNNNNNNNNNNNNNNNNNNNNNNNNNNNNNNNNNNNNNNNNNNNNNNNNNNNNNNNNNNNNNNNNNNNNNNNNNNNNNNNNNNNNNNNNNNNNNNNNNNNNNNNNNNNNNNNNNNNNNNNNNNNNNNNNNNNNNNNNNNNNNNNNNNNNNNNNNNNNNNNNNNNNNNNNNNNNNNNNNNNNNNNNNNNNNNNNNNNNNNUGCUAUGUCUUUUUGAUUCUGACAAAAAGGGGGAGAAGUCAUUAAUAGCUCUGAUGAAAAUACUGUCUAAAUACCUUAAGCACUCUGCAACAUAUUUUUCUUAAAAAUAAAUUUAUCUAACACUAGACUUAAGAAAUUGCAGAAGGUAUCAAGAAACCUCAUUGCUUGGAAGCUCUGGUAAGAACUUCUGAACUCCCUAGCCUAUCUCAGGGGGAGCUCUUGUCUAUCUGAUCUGAUAUUGUUUAUGUUUCAUCUGCUAAUUAAGUUUGUUUUGUCAUCAUCAAAAAGGGGGAGAUUGUAAGAACAAAAAUUGUUCUACAACAGAUUCCAUGAUUUUGAUGAUAACAAAGGAUGAAACCAAAAAUGGCACCCUAACGAAAAGUUUCUAAGUGUGCAGGAUUCUAAGGAAAGAAGGAAGAGAUCUGAUGACGUCAUCAGAUACAGAAUCAUAUCAGAUACAAAUUAUCAGAAGACCAAAAGCAUCUGAAGUAUAAACACGCUCAAGAAAGUCUAACUCUGAGCAAAAACAACAAAAUAUCAGAAGCAUCUGAACAAGAAGUACGCUCUAGAAGUUCUGACUCUGAACAACGGUAUGUCAAACUCCAGAAGCUAUCAGCGCUAUCUGAAGAAACCAUCAGAACUUAAAAGAGAUCAACAUCAGAAGUUAGAUAGCAAGAUUCCAAGAUUCCCAGAAACACGAAGACUCAGAUCUUGGAUUUCCUAAUAAGGAAAGAGUAACGUUAACUUCAAAUAAAGGCUUGGAAAUGGAUUUCCUAAUACAGAAAGAGACGUUAAACUCCAAAUUCAAAUGAAAAGGAACUAUUUUUGGAAAGUAGUCAUUCGAGGAGAGAAAGUUGUCUUGGCAAGAAGCUAUAUAAGUUAUGGCAUUAAUUUAAAUUAUUGGCCAUCACCUUCAACGACUACUUCACUCCUAUAUAUAAAGGACUGCAAAUCAACAUCAAACACAAGAAUUUACUGAAACAUCAACACACAUAAACACAUUUUAUUCUCUCAAUCUUCACGAAGCUUUUGCUUAGAACGUGAAACACUUUGUUCUUGCUGUUGUAAUAUUUGCUUAUCUUAGAAGCACUCUAGAUUACAUAAGUCUUUAUCCUUGUUUUUUUCCUCAAGUGACUCUGCGCAGUCUGUAUACUUGAGAGGACUAAGAGAUCUUCUCUUAGACGUCGUUUGUAAUCAAUCUUUCAAGAUUAGUGGAUUAAGUCCUUGUUGAAGGCGAAAUCACCUUGGCCGGGUGGACUGGAGUAGCUUUGUGUUAUAAGCGAACCAGUAUAAAUUCCUUGUGUGAUUUUCAUUUUUGAAAAAGCGCUUAUUUUCAAAACAAUUCAAACCCCCCUUUCUUGUUUUUCUCACCUUCAAAGGUUUGAUUUGAUUUUGUAUCAGACAAUUUUGCUUGAAAGAGUUAUAUGGCUUUCACAAUUUGGUUGUGUUUCAGGUUAUUUUAUGGACAUCUCAUGUUGUUCAUAUUUUGCAACAAUAUGUUAUUGAUGAGAUGAUUUAAUUAUGUUUUUGUGGUCGGUUCAUUUGCCAAUUGUUGUGAAAUAUAAAGCUGAAAGUGAUACUUUAUUAAACCAAAGACAAUGACCUUAUAUAGCCUUACAGGAGAAAUAAAGAAAUAACAGAAGCAAACUAGAAACUAGGAAACAGACUCCAUUACGUAAUUAUAGAUGACUUAUUCAACUAAGACAAAUUCAAACUACAACAUACCCUCCCUUAAGCUUAACUCUCAUGAAUUAAGCUUAAUUCAGACAAGUUAACAAUUUCAAGUAAUGCUCUCAGCUUCUCAAACUGCUCCAGCUUCAACGACUUCGUAAAAAUAUCCGCAACUUGGUUUUUUGCUGCACAAUACUCCAGCUUAACAGUUUCCCCAUUCACCAGCUCUCUAAGAUAAUGAAACCUUACUUCGAUAUGCUUACUUUUCCCAUGAAGGACUGGAUGUUUGGACAAAGCAAUCGUCUAACUUGUAAGACCCAAAUUUUGACCCUAAGAUCCCUCAUGGCAUCAUAUCAUUGCACAUUGCAUUUGCCUCAAGGAUCAUAGCAUCUUGACUCCUUAACCUUUGGGUAGGACUUGUGUGAGUUGGUCUGAGACCACCAAGAAUGCUUGAAUAGUAUAUUAUUGCUUUUAUCAUUUUGUUUACUAACCAAAAUCACAAAAAAUAUGUCACUAACUUUGUUUGUUUUGUAGCUUGAGCAAUCAUAAGAUCCAAGGCUCCUAGGAGACCCUUACUCAUUAGAAUGGCCAAAUGAAGUUGAAAGAAAGCAUGACAAUGGUUCACAAGGCUCUCAAUCAUCAUAUAUUCCUCCCAAGUAUCUCAGUUUGUCAAUUUGAUCAAGAUAAACCAAAGGACUUGAGGCCUGUUUCCCAAGGAAACCCUAAUUCAUCUGUGCAUUGAUUGUGCCUUGCUCAUGAAGUAACCUCAAUCCAUGAUCAAAUAUAAUCAAGGGAAUUUCUUUCAUUCAUCAUUUCAUGAAUAUUUGAGCUUAUUUGAGUGUCCUCAAUCAUCAAUUCAUCAAGAUUUGAAGUUUGGACUUGAGAAGUUGAUCAGUCAAUUCAUCUAACUAUUUUAAAAUCCACUGAGACCUAACUUUUGAUGUGUUUGUCAAAUGAAGAUGACCCCAAGAGAAAAAAUGUUCUUAAGAACCAUAUGAACAACUUUCAUGUUCAUCAAAAAUUUAUUUGAAUCUUGUAAGGUCAUCAUCCAUUUCAAAACAUUAUAGGUCAUUUUGACUGAAACCCUAAUUUUGGGUCAACUUCCCAAGGACCUAACUCACUCAUUUUUCAUGAUUUUGAGGUGGGAUCAAAUGAAUUGGAAAGACAUCAUCCAUUUCAAAACAUUAUAGGUCAUUUUGACUGAAACCCUAAUUUUGGGUCAACUUCCCAAGGACCUAACUCACUCAUUUUUCAUGAUUUUGAGGUGGGAUCAAAUGAAUUGGAAAGUUUAACAUGUCUACUUCAUUUUUUAUGUUGAAAAAAUGUUCAUAAUCCUAAAAGAAGUACAUGUGAUAAUGCAAAACAUUAUAGGUCACUUUGGACCAAAGUCAUUGAAAUGUGAAAAAGUCCAACUUCAAGUGCCCAUAACUUUCUCAUCAAAAAUCCAAAUGAUGCAAAAUUUGAGUACAAAUUGAUUUUAUUGAAAAGAUAUACAACUUUGAUGUUGAAGGUUUUGUCAUUUGAGGCUUGCAUCAUUGAAACAGAAGGGCUUGAAGUUGGUCCAUUUUGGCAAAAUUCUCAUACACAUAUUUUGUACAUGGAACUUCAUGAUCAGUUUUCAUUAAUUUCCCAACUCCAAAUGGAUUUUUGUUCAACAUAAAAAUUGUUCCUCAUGUCAAGGCCUUUCCAACCAUUACCCACAUGACCAUGAUUCAUUUUGGUAAGGUGCAUUUUCGAAGAGAUGAAAGUUUAUGUUCAUUUAUGGAAACAAUGUUAAAAAUCCAUGCACAAGCCAAUUCAAUCACACUUGUACGUCCAAUUCAUCUCAAUUACAUAUGAACACUCAAUUGCCAUUGCAUUUGGGCCUCCCAUGCGCCUGUACAGGCCCAUACAUAGAGGCCCUCACUUCAUGCACACAUGAAUUUCACCUUGCUUGCAUCACCUUGUGCUAUAAAUAGAGAUGCUCAGCUUCACUCCAAAUCAACCUUAAGGCGCCUUACAUGCUGCAGAACUGAAUCCCCACCUCACUCAAAGGAAUUUUUUGCAUUUCACUUCAAUUUUUCAGUCUCAAUUUUCAACUUCCUUGGUUGAUUAUUGAGCUCUAAUUCCUUAGCCUCACUUCCUUUCCAUCUCAAGAACACACUGCUAUCAAGAAUUGGGAGAGAUCGUGAUUCAUAGAGAUGCACUUCAAAGGUUGUUGUUCAAACUUUUUCAAUUCGAAUCUCACUGGAUCUUGUUAUUUCUUGUGUUUGUUGGCUCCUCUGAAGUCCUUCAUAAGAGGCAAUUGAAUAUUUAAUUUCACGAAUCCAUCAAGUUCAGAUUGAACACCAUAAUUUUCUCUCUCAGAUUUCUCCUUCUAUGAGAGUCUAGAGGAGAAACCAAUGGCACAGGGGUGAUGUACAUCACCCCAGCUUUCUAAUGAUAUGAGGAUCGUCCAUUUUGGUUGAGAUUUCAUGACCUGCAACUUCCACCGGAGCUAGCAUGCUUGCCGGAGAAGACGGUGGUGUACACCACCGUCCCCGUUGCCAGAUUUAAUCUAGGCCAUUUGAUUGCAUUUCCAGAUCUAAUCAUAGCCUUCAAAUCUUAUGACUUUUAAUAAUGCUAUGUGUUUCUCGUUUGACCAAAGUCUAUGAUGCGCGCGCGCCUGUGAGCCAUCUGAUGUGCCACAUCAUUUAAUGAGAUUGAUCCAACGCGUCAGGCUUUUUGCAUUUUCUGAUUUUUCUAUUUUAUUUUCUUAAUUUUAUUUUAUUUCAAAAAUUCAUAUCUCUUUCAUUUUAAAUCCAAAAAUUAUGGGACCAAUUGCAUUAUUUCCCUUUUUAAUUCUAGUUUCUAAAAAUGAUUUUUAAUAUUUUUUAUUUUUCCAUUUGAUAUUUUUUGUAAAAUUUCUCUUUUCUGGUUAUUUUUAAUUCAUUUUAAAUAGUUUCCAAUAUUCAAAAAAUGCAAAAAUAUUUUCUUAACAUCUUUGAAUGAUGAUGAAUCUAUGAAAAAUAUUCUCAUCAAUUUCUGGAAUUGAUUUGAGAUUUAUUUGAGAUUUUGUUCAAUUAUGUUUAUUUUUUCAUUUUUAAUUGUUUAAAAAAUAGGUUCUGGUUUCCAAAAUGCUGAAGUUUUGUCAAACUUUGUUUGACCUUGUUGAACUUAGGAUGAUCCAUUUGGACUUUUCCAAGUUGAUUUGAAAUGGAUUUGAAGUUUGACCUUUAUUUGAUUAUUUUAAUUCAAGUAUUAUUUUAAUUUUCAAAAAUAGCAAAAAUAUUUUAUUUGUUUCUUGACUUCUAAGCUUCAUCUUACUUCUGUUUACCAUUGAUUAACUUUGAUUCCUUUCAUCUUUGGUCAAUGUAUUUUGCUUUUGUCAUUUGAAUUUCCAUUCAUGUUCAUUCUUAUUCUUCUUCUUCUUCAUCUUUUUUUUUCUUUUUGAUCAAUGAGUUAGAGAUUGGUGGUUAGCCUUGACAUAUGAGGGGCUUAACCUUAUUUGAUUCAAAUCUAAUUCAUCUUGAUCAAGGAUCAAGUGAAUGACUUUGCAUUAGAGAUAGGUUGCUUCUUAGUCAAGCAAAAAAUCUAAAUCAAUACAAGAUCAUUCUUCUUUUAUUUUGGCAUGACAAGUUGUAGGAGCUUGGAUUACUAGUCAUGGUCUCUAACUUGUGUUUGUUGCCUAUAGUUUUAUUGACCGGCCUCAGAUAGGUGUGACUACUACAUUAGUCCACUUACGAUUGCUUAACAUAGCGCUAAAUUGCCUUAUGGCACACACUCAGAUAGGUGUGACUACUACAUUAGUCCACUUACGAUUGCUUAACAUAGCGCUAAAUUGCCUUAUGGCACACUAACAUUAACUAUUAACACUAACUUUUAAUUCAAGUCUUUAAUUCUUGCAAUUUACUUUAAUGCAAUUUAAUUUCUUGCACAUUAAUUCAUUUGCUUUUGCCCUUUACUCACUUGAGCUCAUGUUUAUGUUAAUGCAAUUUGCCUUUUGCUCACUUGAGCACAUUAUUGUGUAUAUACUAUUGUGCUUGUUUUAUUUUGAUUGUGUGAACCCAAUGCAAAUGGACAAAGGACUUAGAUUUUAGGACCUUGCCUAUGCUAAAUGGAGUCAAAGAGAAACUAGGCCUCAUGCCUUUAGAAUGCUAUGAAAGAAAAAUGUCAAAGAGCAACUAGGCCUCAUGCCUUUAGAAUGCUUAAUGUUGAAGAUGAAUUGAAAGGACCUCUAAUUCUAAACUCCCUCUUGUCCAUUCUUUAUUUGUUUUGUGGAACUUUUUUAUUUGUGUGUUCUUGUGCUAGGGAUCCCAAACUUGCAAAGUAGAAGAACCAUUGUCAUGAGCAUCCAAAGUGAGAGAUACAAAAGCCAUUGGAAGAUUCCUAGGAGCUUGAUUGUUAUGUGCUUGAUUGCUUGAGUUAUUUGCUUAUUGCUUGUUAUAUCCAAAGGAAGGAGCAACUUGGAUCAUCACCAUGAUCUCAAGAAGGAAACUCCAUUGUGGUUUUAUUUCUCUUCCUUUAUCCUUGCAUGUUUAGGACUUAGCCAUUCUUCUUCUUCCUUCCACUCUAACCCAAGCCAAACUUUUGUGCACACAUUAACAUUGUUUUCAAAAUUAGAAACCUAAGCUCUAUGCUUUUGAUUUUUUCAAACUCUUUUCAUAACACUUAUCUGGAAUUGAACCCUUAAGUCAACUUUGACCAUACUUUGUGAAUACUUUUCAUUUGUAAAUACAACUCACUCAAUUGUUUUGUGGUUUCAAUGGCCACUUUGCCAAAGCUUUUCAUAAACAUUAGCUAUUAGGUUUAAGUUAUCCUAGAGGUUGAUAUAAUACUCACCUAUAUCCUUAGUGAUAGGAUUAUGAGUCUUCCAUGCUUAUUAUAGGGUUAACCCCUCACUAGCAUGUUGAAGCUCUCCUCACAUGGUGGAUUUGUGGUUUUAGGUUGAGUUUCUCCCUUUGAUAACAAAAGACCUUAAGGCUUUUGACCAAUCAAUUCACCAACUUCUUUUGAGAAUUUCACCCUGAACUACGAGGUUUUGAUCCUACCUUUUUAAGAUGGUACGUAGGCAAUGGGUUCAUCCUUUCAAACACAAAAUUGUAAAUAACUUAUAUAUUCUCUUCUCAUCUCCCCAAUCAUGUUUGCACAAAUAUUUUUCCCAAAUACCAACCUACCUUACAACAUUAGUGAAAAGGGCUCCCUUAGAGUACUAAGGAUGUUUUGGAUGCUUAAAACCUUCACAUUGCAUAACCAACCCCCUUACCCAGAUCUCUGACAUUUUUAUUAGUUUUUGAUUCGAUAAAACUUCUCGGUUUUUGUUCGCUUUCUAACCUUUCCUUUGGAUAAAUAGAAGUGCGGUGGCGACUUGAAUUGUAUGAUUUACUUUUGAUUUAGUCAAUAAAUCUAAAGGUAACGAAUACCCCGCUACAAAAAAGUGGCGACUCUGCUGGGGAUGAUUUGCCUAGUGGGUUUUGCCUACUUUUCACUUUUGUUGUAUUGUAUUAUUUAUAUUAUUUGUGACAUAUUUUUGUGCAAAUUUGGGAUUAUUGUAUUGAUUGUAAUGUACGAAUUGCUUGAUAUAUCAAUUGCUUGUGUGCUUGGUGGUCUCUUGUGAGACGAGUUCUAUACCCGAACUCGAGUGCACUUAUGAUAGGAGAAUGGCAUAGUCUUGUUGACUUGUGUGGAGUUAUUCCUUAACAAGUUGACUUGCAAGCCCAUUCACUUGGUGGAGGUUAUGUUGGGAUCAAUAAUGUCACACAAGUAGUCGUGGUUAGGCAUUACUCUUUCCAAUAUAUGCCUUAGAAGCCAAGGACCUUAGAUUACCCCCAUCUUGGCCUUUUUAGGACGUAGGAAGGGUUCAAGUGUAAGUUUGAUACGAUUGUACGCAUAACUACAUCCAUAGAGUCUCUCUAUAUUUUUGGAAUACGAGUAGUCAUUUAUCCGAUAAUAUCUGAAAGAUGGGAUGAUGACUAUGGGAACCUCUUGUAGAACAUGAUUGUCAGGUUUAACCAUAGUACACUCCCUUUGGAUGGUUCUUAACCGAGACUCCAUGCUCGUGACUUACAACAAACCCUUGAUUCAUGGUUGAUCCGUUCUUGUGUAUCCUUAAUAUCAAUGGAACUUGGGUGUUGAUAAGGUGAAAACCAUAAUCCACCAAAAUGGACUAGUGAUAUUAAGGAUGACUUGAUCCAUCCCAUGACCUUUGUAUGGUGUGAUUUGCUUGAUCCUUGAGUGUGAUUGUUGCAUCCAUGCAUUCAUGCAUUCAUACACAUCCAUAUCAUCAACAAUGAUAAAAUUUUCAAGGAACCUAAGAGGUUUAUUUGCAAAUUUUCAGACAUGAAUAAGCAAAGAAGGAAUACAAAGAAGUACAGUUUCAGACAACCCGACUUGAAAGAGUUAAGGAGUUUGACAUCCUAUGUAUUAGAUCCCUUGGAGUUCAAGGCUCGUCGUGAGAAGCUUCUGUCUAUUCUUGCAACUCAGGUGGAUGAAGGUCUGAUGAGUGUGUUGGUACAGUUCUAUGAUCCCUUGUACCGUUGCUUCACAUUCCCGGAUUUCCAGCUUUUGCCCACGCUUGAGGAGUAUGCCUAUCUUGUGGGUAUAUCCCGUUCCGACUCUGUUGAGUGACACUUAUUUCUCUUUGCAUAUGAGGAAUGCAAAGGGUGGUGGUACCAUUGUGUGUUGUUUUCCUCUGUUGUACAAGUGGUUUAUUUCUCACUUGCCUCAAACGCUCGCCUUCAAGGAGAAAAAAAGAUGUCUACGGUGGUCCACGAGACUUAUGUCUCUCACUAACGAUGAUAUCUUUUGGUAUAACCGUGUAUACGAUGGUGUGCAAAUUAUCGACUCUUGUGGUGAAUUCUCCAAUGUGCCUCUUCUUGGUACAUGUGGUGGGAUUAACUACAACCCUAUUUUAGCACGUCGUCAGCUUGGGUUCCCAUUAAAGGAUAAACCCAAUAACAUUUUGUUAGAAGGUAUGUUCUUUCAAGAGGGUAAAGAUCCCCAAAACAUGAAGGGCAGGAUGGUCCGCGCUUGGCGCAAGAUUCAUAGAAAGGGAAGGAAAGAGCUUGGUCUGAAGAAUUGUAUUACUUUGGAACCCUAUACCUCGUGGGUGAGGAGGAGAGCUUCUGAGUACCUUAUGCCUUAUGACUACCCGAGACCUACACCUAUGGUUGUGGCUGAGCCUUCAACCCUCCCUAACCAAGGAGUAGAGGAGUUGAGAGAUGAAGACCGUUCACGUGCUUGGAUCCGUGAGCGAGAGGAGCUACUUCAGCAGCUUAGAGAUAAGGAUGCUUUGAUAGAGUUUCUGGAGCAUCAGGUUAUCGACGAGCCUGAUGAUGUAGUCACUUCUCUUCUUCCUCAGUCUUCCAGGUUUUGGAAGAGGAAGUACGAUCGACUCGCCAAGGAGAAGGCAAAUAUGGAGGCAACCUAUGAGAGAGAGGUGAAGAGGCUUCGUGGAACUUAUCUUCCAGUCUCGAGAGAUUUGGACGAUUGGUUCUAGGGUUCCAUAGGAUGUUCAUUUUCCUUCUCCCUUGUAUUGUAUUUGGUUACCAAGAUUGUACUUCUUUGGUGUAAAAAUAUUUUCCAGAUGUUAUUGAUAUGAUUAUUCCACAUAUGUCUAAAUGAUUAAUAUUUCCAACAUUUGCAAAUAGGACUCUAAAAGUUCCUCUGAUAAAAAAUAAAUCAUAUGCACAAGCAUUGCAUGCAUCAUGUGCAUAAGCAGGUUUUGUUCCAGGGCUUCUUGUUCAGUGGUCUAACUCUGUGUUUUUCAUUUAUUUUAAAGACAAGCUGACGCACCGGUACUAUACCAGAGCCAACUCAUCAAAGCUAGUGGAUCACCUCGAGCAAGAGAACCGAGAAUUGAAGGAGGAAGUGGAAAGAUUGACUGCCCUGAUGGAGUUUUUUUUGGCCGCCCAAAGUCAGUCUUCUCCAACGCCUUCAACUCCUCCCCAGAGGACACGUCAUUUCUGAGAUUCCUUCCUCAACAGUACCUGCUUCCAGUGCCCACUUCGUGCCUACUGUUAUGCCAGCCGGGUUUCCCUGAGGGAUGCCCGCGAACUUUGUUCCAGAGGGUCUCGCCCCAACUUUUGCUUCUUUGUCGGUAUCUAGCCCGGUCCUUGCUGUGCCGCCUCCAGUCGUGCAUACUUUGCCGAUAGUAGAUGACAUCAUUUACCACUCUGAGCCAUCUGAGGGCCCAGACGUGUAUGAAAAGAUGGAUGCCAUGAACGAUCAAUUCCUUGAGCUGCGCAAGGAACUCAAAACUCUCAGAGGGAAGGACCUCUUUGGCAAAUCUGCUGCUGAGCUUUGCCUUGUUCCUAAUGUCAAGAUUCCUGUCAAGUUCAAAGUGCCUAACUUUGAAAAGUACAAAGGAAACACUUGCCCACUCAGCCAUUUGGUUAUGUAUGCACGAAAAAUGUCGACUCAGAACGACAAUGAUCAACUCUUGAUCCAUUACUUCCAGGAUAACCUGUCCGGUGCCGCCUUGAGAUGGUACAUGGGUUUGGACAGCUCGAACAUCCGCUCCUUCAAUGACCUUGGCGAAUCCUUCGUCAAGCAAUACAAAUACAACGUUGAUAUGGCUCCCGAUAGGGACCAGCUGAGGGCCAUGUCCCAGAAGGAUAAAAAAACUUUUAAGGAGUACGGCCAGAGGUGGCGAGAAUUGGCUGCACAGAUUGUGCCUCCGCUAGAAGAGAAAGAGAUUACCAAGAUCUUUCUAAAACCUUGAGUUCAUUCUACUAUGAGCGGAUGAUUGCUAGCGCUCCUUCUGACUUCACCGAGAUGGUAAACACGGGGAUGCGUUUAGAAGAAGGAGUCAGGGAAGGGAGCCUGACCAAAGAAGAAGGCUCUUCUGCCAAACAAUAUGGGGCGUUUGCGAAGAAGAAAGAUGGCGAGGCACAUGCUGUGACCUCCCAUAUUAAAUCUAGAAGACCCUCUGUGAAGAGGAAGACUGUGCAUUCCGCCAGUAAUCAGCACCAGAUGGAUCAUAUAGCACCUGCAUUCAGAGAAAACCAACAUUAUCAACAUUAGAACCAGCAACAACAACAUCAACAGUAUCAACAACAACAACACUGUCCUCAACAGCAGGCCUACCAGCCUCAAAACAACAAUCAAACCAGCACUAGCUAUGAUAGGAAGAGGGUCAGUUUUGAUCCUAUUCCCAUGACCUACGCAGAGCUAUAUCCUUCUUUAAUUGAAAGGAAGUUGAUCACUCCACGUGACCCACCUGCUAUACCUACCAACCCUCAGUGGUGGUAUAAGCCUGAGCUUCAUUGUGUUUAUCAUUCCGGUUCUCCCAGACAUGAUGUGGAGAACUGUUACCCUCUCAAUACCAAGGUUCAAGACCUUGUUAGAAGUGGUAUUCUGUUUUUCGAGGACAUAGGUCCUAAUGUGAAGAAGAACCCAUUGCCCGAGCAUGGGAAAUCUGCUGUUAACAUGGUUCAGGGUUGCCCUGGCAAAUAUAAGGUCCGAUAUGUCAACCAUAUCCGACAAUCUUUGGUCGAGAUGCACAGACAGUUGUGUGGAUACAGUCAUUACGAGCAUGACCAUGACAGUUGCCGUGUUUGUACUGUCAAUGAGAGGGGAUGUCGACAAGUUAGAAAAGACAUCCAAGAAAUGCUGGAUCAGGGUGUAAUUGAGAUACUUCAGAAUCGUGAUGAGGAUGAUGAAGUUAAUGUGAUAUCACCUGUAUUUAGGAUACCUGAGCCUGUUGUCGUCAGAUAUGAUGGCAGCAAGCAGAAGGCUUCUCCUACUCUCAUAAUUAAGCUAGUUGGCCCUAUGCCUUAUUCUUCUGACAAGGCCGUUCCCUAUCGAUAUAAUGUAGUGGCAUUAGAAGAUGGGAAGAAGGUGCCUCUAUCCUCCACUUCUGUUGUUAAUAUUGCUGACGUCAGCGGUUUGACCCGUAGUGGUCGUGGUUUUUCGGCGCCGCCAAAACCCCAAGCUGACACCAGAAGAGUUGAUACUGUUGAUAAUGUCGUUCGUCCUUUGGGGAAUUCUUCUGUUUCUCCGAAUCCGGCACUUGCUGUUAAUAGACCUGCCGCCGCUACUAAAACUCCUGCGCCUACUGGCCAGAAUGGCAUGAUGAAAGAGGACUGUGAUGAGAUGUUGAGGCUCAUUAAGAGGAGUGAAUACAAUGUUGUAAAUCAGCUUCUACAAACGCCUUCAAAGACAUAUGUGUUGUCUUUAUUGAUGAAUUCUGAGCCACACCGUGAAGCUUUGCAGAAGGUGUUGGACGUGGUGUAUGUAGAUCAUGACGUCACAAUAGAACAAUUUGAUAACAUUGUUGCAAACAUUACUACUUGUAACAAUAUGAGUUUCUGUGAUGCUGAUCUCCCCGAGGAGGGAAGGAACCACAAUUUGGCUCUACACAUUUCCAUGAAUUGCAAGGAUGAUUCCUUGUCUAAUGUGCUGGUAGACACAGGAUCAUCGCUAAAUGUGUUGCCAAAAUCCACUCUGGCGAAACUUUCUUAUCAGGGGCCUCCCAUGAGGCAGAGUGGAGUCGUUGUUAAGGCUUUUGAUGGAUCCAGGAAAACUGUGAUUGGAGAGGUUGAGCUCCCAAUCAAGAUUGGACCUAGUGAUUUCCAUAUCACUUUCCAGGUCAUGGAUAUCCACCCAUCAUAUAGCUGCUUGCUUGGCAGACCAUGGAUUCAGGAGGCAGGCACCGUGACAUCCACCCUACACCAAAAGUUGAAAUUCGUCAAGAAUAAGAAGUUGGUGGUGAUAGGGGAAGAGAAGGAUCUCUUGGUAAGCCAUUUGUCUUCCUUUUCCUAUAUAGAUGCUGAGGAUGAGGUUGGGACGCCGUUCCAAGCCUUAUCUAUUGAUGAGCCUUUAAGGAAAGGAACUUCUUCAUUUGCGUCCUACAAUGAUGCGAAGUUGGCCAUUGAGCAUGGUGCAACUACUGGUUUAAGACAAAUGAUUAAGCUGGAAGACAAUAAAUCCCGGGCUGGCAUAGGGUACUCUUCAGGCACAUUUAAUGAGCACGGUUUAUUCCAGAGUGGAGGUUUCAUCCACACGAUCGAAGACCAAGAGGCUGCUGCUAUAGUGGAAGAUGAUGCAGAGGAAGAUUCUGGCAACUUUGUCAUCCCUGGAGGAGUCUGCAAUAAUUGGGUCGUUGUUGAUGUUCCAACAGUUGUCCAUAAGUCUACGUAAUAUGUUCACCUUUGUUUAAAAACCCUUCUCCCAUGCCAAAAGGAGAAGUGAUGACACUGUUGGCACAUUAAUACAAUGAUAUUCAUUCAAUAAUUACAUGUUAAAUGUUUGUUUUUCCAAAUCAUUUUCCCUUUUUGCUUUUUUCAUGAAAUUGGUGAUCACUAAAAAACCCUAAAAAGAGAAUCUUUUCAUCUGCAUAAUGAUUUGCCUUGUUUGAAAUCUGAAAUCUCUUUUAUAUCCAAAAUCAUUAUGCAGGUUGAUCAAAACCCAUUGAACAUAAUGAUCCAACACCAUCUCCCAACUUUGAGUUCCCUGUAUUUGAGGUAGAAGAAAAUGAUGUUGAAAAGAUUCCUGAUGAGAUUACCCGUCUGCUAGAGCACGAAGAGAAGGUCAUUCAGCCGCAUCUUGAGAAUCUGGAAACAGUCAACUUGGGGUCUGAAGAUUGUGUUCACGAAGUGAAGAUUGGGGCACUCCUUAAAGCAUCUGUGAAGAAGGGGUUGAUUGAGUUGCUACGAGAAUAUGUCGACGUCUUUGCCUGGUCGUAUGAAGACAUGCCUGGUCUAGAUACAAAUAUCAUGCAACAUUUCCUGCCUUUGAAGCCUGAGUGUGUGCCUGUGAAGCAGAAGCUCAGAAGAACUCAUCCUGAUAUGGCAGUGAAGGUUAAAUAAGAAGUUCAGAAGUAAAUUGAUGCGAGGUUUCUGGUGACUUCUACAUAUCCUCAAUGGGUGGCCAAUAUUGUGCUCGUGCCUAAGAAAGAAGGAAAAGUCCGAAUGUAUGUGGACUAUAGAGACUUGAAUAAAGCUAGUCCGAAAGAUGAUUUUCCUCUACCACACAUUGAUAUGUUGGUAGACAAUACAACUAAAUUCAAUGUUUUCUCAUUCAUGGACGGAUUUUCCGGUUAUAACCAGAUUUAAAAUGGCACCCGAGGAUAUGGAGAAGACAACAUUCAUCACACCUUGGGGAACAUUCUGUUAUCGAGUGAUGCCCUUCGGUUUGAAGAACACCGGAGCCACGUAUUAACGAGCUAUGACUACCUUGUUUCCUGAUAUGAUGCACAAGGAGAUCGAGGUAUAUGUUGAUGACAUGAUUGCAAAGUCGAGAAUGGAAGUUGAACAUGUAGAGCACUUGUUAAAGCUUUUUUAGU